CGGGGGGGGCAAGCGUUGUUCGGAAUUACUGGGCGUAAAGGGCUCGUAGGCGGCCAACUAAGUCGGACGUGAAAUCCCCAGGCUCAACCUGGGAACUGCGUCUGAUACUGGAUGGCUUGAAUCCGGGAGAGGGAUGCAGAAUUCCAGGUGUAGCGGUGAAAUGCGUAGAUAUCUGGAGGAAUACCGGUGGCGAAGGCGGCAUCCUGGACCGGCAUUGACGCUGAGUGAGCGAAAGCCAGGGGAGCAAACGGGAUUAGAUACCCCGGUAGUCCUGGCCCUAAACGAUGAAUGCUUGGUGUGACGGGUAUCGAUCCCUGUCGUGCCGAAGCUAACGCAUUAAGCAUUCCGCCUGGGGAGUACGGUCGCAAGGCUG
rnacentral:rRNA from 1 species